UCGGUGAAACGUUUUAACAGCUGCGGUAUUUUAACUGUACUAAGGUAGCAUAAUAAUUUGCCUUAUAAUUUGAGGCUAGAAUGAAUGGUUUGACGAAGGUUAAUCUGUCUCCACUUUAUUUUUUAGAAAUUAAUUUUCAUAGUGAAAAAGCUUGAAUUUUUUAAGGGGACGAGAAGACCCUACUGAGCUUAUAAUUUUAUUAAAACAUAUAUUCAUAUAUAUUGUGUUAUAUAAAUUUUAAUUGGGGUGAUUAAGGAAUAAUAUUAUUAUUAUUAUAUAUGUAACUUCCUUAGAAAUAUUAUAUUGUUGAAUAAAGUAACCGAUAAAUUAAUAUAAUUAUUAUGUAUUGCUUAUAAUAUAGUUACCAUAGGGAUAACAGCGUAAUUUACUUAGAGAGUUCUUAUUGAAAAGUAAGAUUGCGACCUCGAUGUUGGAUUAAAGUAACCUUAAGGUGCAGAAGCUUUAUGGGGUAAAUCUGUUCGAUUUU
rnacentral:rRNA from 1 species